GAUGAACGCUGGCGGCGUGCCUAAUACAUGCAAGUCGAGCGAACAGACGAGGAGCUUGCUCCUCUGACGUUAGCGGCGGACGGGUGAGUAACACGUGGAUAACCUACCUAUAAGACUGGGAUAACUUCGGGAAACCGGAGCUAAUACCGGAUAAUAUAUUGAACCGCAUGGUUCAAUAGUGAAAGACGGUUUUGCUGUCACUUAUAGAUGGAUCCGCGCCGCAUUAGCUAGUUGGUAAGGUAACGGCUUACCAAGGCGACGAUGCGUAGCCGACCUGAGAGGGGGAGAAGCAAAAGUGGAGCUGAGGCAGGGACCAGACGAAUACGGGAGGAAGCAGUGGGGAAUAUUCGACAAUGGGCGAAAGAUUGAAAAAGGAAUGACGCGGGAGGGAAGAAGGUAUUAGGAUUGUAUAGAUGUGUUAUGGGGGAAGAAGCAAAGUGCAAGAAACUAUGCCGGUCUUGACGGUACAUAAAUAGAAAGCCACGGCGAACUUCGUG
rnacentral:rRNA from 1 species